CAGCAGAAACCAACAUACGUCAGCUUUUACUUUACUCAAGGGACAAAUUAAGUGAUUACUCAAACUGAGAAAUGAAGCAGAGGCUGAUGGGAGAAGUAUGAGCCCAAGGUGAUACUAAAUCCUACAUUUCCCAGAAUACAACUGCAUCAUUUCUUUCUCUACUUCCCUCCCUGCCUGGUAGACACCCUCAUCUUUCCAUCCUCCACACCCUCUGAAGUCAGUUAAUCCUGAUGAAAUCACCAGAGUUGCACUAGAUGUCUGGAAUGGGUGGAGUGUUGCUCCACGGCGGCGUCAUGCACUGUGUGUCUUCCUCCCUGGUGUCCAUUGAAUGACUUUUAUUUCACAUGUUUGUCAGCCUCAGCGAGCUGAAGCCUGUCCUCCCCGGCCGAGGAUGGGCACAGCAGAAGCCACUUUACGCAUGGACAGCAUGGAGGUCAAGGACGAGUGGCAGGACGAGGACUUCCCCAGGCCUCUACCAGAAGAUGGAGAUGUUGAUUCUUCAUGUGGCCUCACCGACAACAGAAAAUACCCCCCCGCCUCUCUGAAUGUGGGCGAGAGCGUGGCGCAGCAUAAGCGUCGCACCCUGGUGGCCCCCGACAUGAACCUGUCCCUGGAUCAGAGCGAGGGCUCCGUGCUCUCUGACAGUUACCUGGAAACGCCCGACGACCUGGACAUCAACGUGGAAGACAUCGAGACCCCCGAUGACACCGACUCGCUGGAGUUCAUCAACAACGGCAACGAGCUGGAGUGGGAAGACGACACGCCGGUGGCCACGGCCAAACGUCUUCCAGGCGACAGCGAGGAAGAGAGAGACUCGUCGGGUCGUCUGUGGAGAACGGUGAUCAUCGGCGACCAGGAGCAGAGGAUCGACAUGCAGGUCAUCAGGCCGUACCUGAGGGUGGUCACACAUGGAGGUUAUUAUGGCGAGGGUCUGAACGCCAUCAUCGUGUUUGCAGCCUGCUGCCUUCCUGACAGCAACUGUGAGGACUACACGUACAUCAUGGAGAACCUCUUCCUAUAUGUGGUGAGCAGCCUGGAGCUUCUGGUGGCAGAAGAUUACAUGAUCGUUUACCUGAACGGAGCCACUCCUCGCAGGAAGAUGCCCGGCAUCAGCUGGCUGAAGAGAUGCUACCAGAUGAUCGACAGGAAACUGAGGAAGAAUCUGAAGUGUCUCAUCAUCGCUCACCCCACGUGGUUCAUCCGCACCGUCCUCGCCAUCUCAAGACCCUUCAUCAGUGUGAAGUUCAUGGAUAAAAUCCGCUACGUUCACUCACUGACGGAACUGAGUCAGAUCAUCCCCAUGGAGCAUGUGCAGAUCCCAGAGUGUGUGCUGCAGUACGAUGACGAGAAGAUAAGAGCACAGACGGAAAGACUUGAGCAAGAUCAGCAGCACAACAACUCAACAGCAGCUAAAGAAAGGUGACUCCAUGUUGCAGUACAUGCAGUAAUAUACACACAGUUCCAACAGCUGGCCAAAGUCAAUGAUAGCAGAUGUUGGAUGUGACAUCUGACAUUAAGGGUUUGAGAUGGAAGAACCGACGGGGGAACAUUCAUCCAUUACUGCAGGAGAACCUCGCAAAUCAGUCCCGACUGGAUCCACUGGCUGCAAGACAAUCAUUUUUCAAAAUGUCCUUCGCUGCGCCUAUAACUGAAAGUUCAUUUGCACCAAAGGCAUCGACACACAUACGUAAAACUAAAUCCCCCAAAAAGUUGUUUCUGCUCCCUGCAUGACGAGGUGAGCUUCAUCUACAGCAUGACUUCCAUCGUAUAAACAUCUAUGGACUCGGAUGAACCUUCAAACAUCUUCCGACAGAGAACGUUGUGUAAAUAAUUGUUGAUAUAUAUUUUUGAGAAAGGUGUUUGCACAGAUAUAUAUGGAUGAUAUGGAAUGGGUAUCGUGAAGUUUUACUGAAAAAUAAUGUGCAAUGAUAUUGUUCUUAGACCGACAGUUAGAUGUUACAGAUGCAAACGUGUUGCAGUUCUCAAAGUUUUUCCAGAGUUGAAUAUGCAGUUGGCAUGCUCGUUCAAAUCCUCCGUCACAUGUUACGUUUGUUUUGCCAUUAUGUUUUAAAAGAUACUUUUACAAGACAGAUGCAGAUGAACACAAUGAAAUUUAUUUAAGGGGAGAGUUUAAUUCAUUUCUAUAAGUGUUAUUUAUGAAAAUGUGCCAUUUACUGUUUGUAAAAAAAUUAAAUGAGUGAACUUAAAA